CGACCUGCCGCUUACUCGGGGAUAGCCUUUCNAAAGAAAGAUUAAUACCCGAUGGUAUAAAGAGUUCGCAUGUUCUCUUUAUUAAAGAAUUUCGGUAAGCGAUGGGGAUGCGUUCCAUUAGAUUGUUGGCGGGGUAACGGCCCACCAAGUCUACGAUGGAUAGGGGUUCUGAGAGGAAGGUCCCCCACAUUGGAACUGAGACACGGUCCAAACUCCUACGGGAGGCAGCAGUGAGGAAUAUUGGUCAAUGGACGCGAGUCUGAACCAGCCAAGUAGCGUGAAGGAUGACUGCCCUAUGGGUUGUAAACUUCUUUUAUAAGGGAAUAAAGUGAGGGACGUGUCCCUUUUUGUAUGUACCUUAUGAAUAAGGAUCGGCUAACUCCGUGCCAGCAGCCGCGGUAAUACGGAGGAUCCAAGCGUUAUCCGGAUUUAUUGGGUUUAAAGGGAGCGUAGGUUGACAUAUAAGUCAGCUGUGGAAGUUUACGGCUCAACCGUGAAAUUGCAGUUGAUACUGUAUGUCUUGAGUGUACAAGAGGUGGGCGGAAUUCGUGGUGUAACGGUGAAAUGCUUAGAUAUCACGAAGAACUCCGAUUG
rnacentral:rRNA from 1 species